rnacentral:hammerhead_ribozyme from 1 species
AUCUAGUUGACGAGUCCCAAGAAGGACGAACGCGCGUCCUGGAU